CCUUCGAUAGCUCAGUUGGUAGAGCGGGGGACUGUGGAUCCCUAGGUCACUGGUUCAAAUCCUGUUUGAAGGA